rnacentral:lncRNA from 1 species
GCAGUCGGGUCGCUAAGCGCAGGGAAGCCGGAGCCCGAAGGCAAGGAGAGACGCGGCGCGGGGCCGGGGAAGUGGGGCCUGGGCCGUGCGCUUCGCCCGCGGCAGUCCAGAGCCGUCCCACCCUGCGAAGAGUUGCGGGAACUGGCACCGCUCUGCCGUCCGCCGCUUCGACGCGGGAAGAGGGUGAGCGUUUGGAACCCAGGACUCAGACCGCUAGCUGAGGGCCUGUGCAGCUCUGGGCACGCGAGCGCGGCGCCGGCGGCGGCCAGGCACGGUCCUCCCGCAAGGGCAGGGCUGUCGACCUGUGCGCCCCAGGUCACGAUCGGGUUCACGGCGACUCCUGAGGACGAAUGUGGCCCCGUCCCAGAGCACCACCCGAGACAUCAGGAGCCCAUCGUGGGCUAGGGAAGAUCCUCCGGGACCUAACGGCCCAGGUCUUCCACCCUUGGCCACCUCCCCAGGUGAUGCCUGAAGCUCAAGGGACUGUGUCCACCCUCAGGUCAAGAAGUGGCGCUGACCUGGAGCCCCUGCCUGGGGCUGGCCUUCCUCACAGUGAGCUGGGCCUCCUGCCAUCCUGGCUCUGGAGGGCGUCUGAGUGGAAGAGGCUCAGCCUCACCUCCACACCCUGAAGACUCACUCUCUGGCCCUGGGCUCUGUUGUGUGCACCGCCUGUCUGCAGGGCCCAGCCUGCCUCGAGCACUCCCUGGGGACAGAAGCUCCUGCGCUGGCCUCUCCUGUCACCUAGCCACCGGGCAUCCUGGAGUGCAGCCCUCAUGCCCCGAGGCCACCUGCCAUCGCCCAGGAUGACUCAAGAUGCCACCUGGGUAAGUCUAGCCCAGAACGAGAAAGGCCGAAUGAGGGAAACUGAGUCACAUCUGCUUCUCCCAGGUGGGGCUGGGGGCCCAGGGGGAGGGCACUUGUGGUGACGACCAGGGUGGACUAGGGGCCUGUCUCCCAUUCUGUCUCUGCCACACGUUAUAGAGCCCGACCUGUGGGCUGGGUCCCCCCAUGGUGAGCACUGUAGGCUCUAGGAGGCUGAAGUCCUGGCCUGGGGGACCUGUGGGGGCCAGGCUGGGGCCAUUGGAAUCAGUAUGGUGGUCCCCACCUGCACUCCAGCUCCGAUGGCUGAUGACGGGGGCCCUGGCAGCUGACCCCUUGCCUCAGUGGGGAGACCACGGCUCACGAGGGCAUGAGACCUGCCCAGAGCAUAGC